GCUGGGCUUGGGCGGGUGGUCGGAUAGCGGUAUGGUGGGGAGGGACCCUAGACUGAAGCCCUCCGCGGAGCCUGGGGACCCAACCUCCCUGCCCGCAUUCCACGGCUGUAAAUGCGUGGAUGUCGGCUGGGAAAAAACUGGACUGCGAUUUGGAAAAAGAAACUAAUCUAGAUCUAUGGCUUCAACAAGGAGAAUAAUUAUAGGUGGAAUUUGUUGGGGGACCUUUAAAAUGCUAGGCUCAUCGUAUCACCAUUUAUAGACGAGGAACCAGGGGCUCAGAAUGGCAAAGUGGAGUGAUGGAAAUGUAUUGGAACUGCAUUGUGGCGAUGGCUGCACAGUUCUUAAAUGUGCUUUAAAAAAAAAAAAAGUUGUACACUUAAAAUGGCUUGGAGUGACAGUGGGAGGACAAAGUCGAAGACACUCGCGGAAGGCCCCCCGAGCCACUGGACAAAUUAAACUUGGAGGCUGAGAAGCAAGUUGGAGAUAGGGCAAUGGGAUGGGGGGUGGUGUCACCUCCCAGGCCCUCUCUCCGCUGGGAGGAUGCUGGGACUGGCUUCCGUGGCCCAGUGAACUUUGGCGGUGUCUUUGGAAUGAGGACUCCGGGAAGAGGGAGGAUACUCAGUUCCCUAACCCGGUAACUCAUGGAGGACCAGUGCCACACACAUGCUAGGCAAGUGCUCUACCACUGAGCUACAACCCCAGCCCUGCUUUCAUCGUUUUUAAGUAUACAGGGAAGAGAAAAACCCAAGAAGCAAAGAACAAAGUCUUCCAGUCACAAGCAACUCAGUGGGACAUGUCUUCCUAGUCCUGCAUAUAUAGACCCAACACCCCAUUUUGUGUGAUAGAGAUUGUAGUUUUUAUUGUGCUUCUCCACACAUCAUGAAUAUUCAGCAAUUCAAAAUCCCAAAACUAUGUUCUGUACACCUCCAUGGACCUUUUGGCCUUGGUUUGGGGGAACUUGAUGCAAACGAUGGCCCUGGAUGAUUGGGGGCCAGGAUGAAGUCUUAGUUCACACCUGCCUGAUCCAAAGAGCACCUCUCCUUAGAUAAAACUGGGAGGACUCUUGCCAGUUCCUGAGAAAGAGUUGCCUUUUCUCUUUCUACAAAGAUAUUCACUCAUUCAAGAAAUGUCGACUCAGUGGCAAUCAGAGUGUAGGCACUGAGGAGACAAAGGCAGACACUUCCCCUGUGCCUAUCUAAGGAGCAAAAUUUUCCUCUGUUCCUCUGUCCCAGAGGUGGCUGCUCUUUGUCUGCCUCUCCAGAGCCUCCUCUGAUCUUGGCUCCUAGGCGCUAUAUUGUUUUUUCACAGCAAGUUCCUAUGCUAAAGUCCUAACCCCCCAGUGGACCCUAAUCCUCUGUGGCUCAUGUCCUUAUCAGACCAGGACAUGCAGAGAAAAGACCACAAGAAGACAUGAGAAGACUGCCAUCUUUAAGCCAAAGAGAGAGGCCACCAAGGAAACCAACCCUGGUGACAGCUUAAUCUCAGACUCCAGAACUGUGAGAAAAUCUCUGUUGUUUGAACCCUCCAGUCAAUGGCAUAUUACUGUUGCAGUCUAGAGGACCAAGGACUCAUUUGGAUCUUUUAGAAAUGCUGGAUGGAUGGCUAUGAUGCUUAUAAGGAUGGAUGAGUGGGGGCUGGGGGUGGGGUAAGGGAAGAAAGAGGGAUCCUCAGUCAGCCCCUCCUCACCUGGUGGGAGGCCUCUGCCCAGUGGCAUACUCACUGUCCACUUUCUCAAUCUGCUUCCUUUGGGUGUAGACGGAUCAGUGGGGUUUGGGAUUUUUCUAGGGUGAGGGGUAAGGUUAGGGGCUCCUUUUCCUCUGCCACAGUGAAUUCUCUUUAGAGCUUCUCUUUCGUUUUUUCCUGGGGUGGGGGGAAGGGAGCUUCAUUCCACUGCAUCUGCCCAAAGGAUUUCCAUUCCUCGUUUUCUUUGCUCCCUGGGCAGGACUCAGCUUCUCUGAAAGUUUCAGUCUUGUACUGGGUCAUGCCCUUUGCUACCUCUUGCUAUCUCUGUUAUAGUUUGAAUAUGGGUGUCCCUUAAAAGGGCUAUUGUGUAGUUUAGUCCCUAGGUGGUGCUAUUGGGAGGUGCUGUGGACCUUUUUAGUAGGUGGGGCCUUGUGGGAGGUCCUUACAUUAUCAGUGCAUGCCCUGGAAGAGCAUCAUGGGACCCCUUUUUCUUUGCUUCCUGGUUAAUAAGGUGUUUUUCUCUGCUGCAUCAGCUUAUCAUGAUGUGCUACUCUUGCCUGCGGCCCAGUGAAUUGGACCAUUUGAUCAUGGAGUGGAACUUCGGAAUCAUAAGCUAAAAUAAACCUUUUCUUUUUA